rnacentral:rRNA from 1 species
AUGCUCUUUCUUAUUACUGUUGAAGCAGGUGGUCACUGGCCUGGUUUCAUGCCAGGAACUAUUGGAACUAUUGUCCCUCAGCCAUUAUAUAUGGAUGUCGCAGCCAGGAUAAUGUCCUUCUCGCAACAGGGCCCAAGGGCGGUCUGCAUCAUGUCAGCAUCAGGGGCUGUCUCCACUGCAACCCUUCAUCAGGAUGCGGGUUCUGGCAGUGUAGUUAAAUAUGAGGGUCGAUUCGAAAUCCUGUGCCUCUCUGGAUCAUACCUGGUUAUAGAUGACGGUGUUACGCGCACACGAAACGGAGGGCUGUGCAUAGCGCUGUGUGGUGCUGAUCACAGGGUUAUUGGAGGAAGCGUUGGUGGAGUCCUGACAGCAGCCGGGACAGUUCAGGUGAUUGUGGGGAGCUUCAUGUACGCGGGGUCGAAGAAGAGCAGGAAGGGUAAGGCCGGGCAGGAGUCUGCUGCAGCGGAGGAAGAACAGACCGGCGAUGCCAACGGGGGCAGGGGCGGAGACGGAGUCGGAGUUGGAGGCGAGGCGGAGGAAGAGGGCCCUUCGCCGCUGAUGCCGAUGCCCCGCGGAGAGGAGGAGCUGCCGUCGGACGCGAUGAUGAGCGGGUGGACGGGCAUGAUGCGGCAGAUGGAGUCGCGGUCCUGCGGCGGCAUCGACAUCAACUCGAUCCGGGAGUGA